UACGUAGGGUGCGAGCGUUGUCCGGAAUUAUUGGGCGUAAAGAGCUCGUAGGCGGUGUGUCGCGUCGGCCGUGAAAACCUGCAGCUUAACUGUGGGCUUGCGGUCGAUACGGGCAUCACUGGAGUUCGGCAGGGGAGACUGGAAUUCCUGGUGUAGCGGUGAAAUGCGCAGAUAUCAGGAGGAACACCGGUGGCGAAGGCGGGUCUCUGGGCCGAUACUGACGCUGAGGCGCGAAAGCUAGGGGAGCAAACGGG
rnacentral:rRNA from 1 species